UACGUAGGGUGCAAGCGUUGUUCGGAAUCAUUGGGCGUAAAGCGCGUGUAGGUUGUUAGGUAAGUCAGAUGUGAAAGCCCUCGGCUCAACCGGGGAAGUGCAUUUGAAACUACCUGACUAGAAGACGGUAGAGGAAGGUGGAAUUCCAAGUGUAGAGGUGAAAUUCGUAGAUAUUUGGAGGAAUACCUGUGGCGAAGGCGGCCUUCUGGACCGAUCUUGACGCUGAGACGCGAAAGCGUGGGUAGCAAACAGG
rnacentral:rRNA from 1 species